GAUAAUAAACACCACUUGCAGCAGU
rnacentral:miRNA from 1 species